rnacentral:rRNA from 1 species
CGAACGGUACCACAGAGGAGCUUGCUCCUUGGGUGACGAGUGGCGGACGGGUGAGUAAUGUCUGGGAAACUGCCCGAUGGAAGGGGAUAACUACUGGAAACGGUAGCUAAUACCGCAUAACGUCGCAAGACCAAAGAGGGGGACCUUCGGGCCUCUUGCCAUCGGAUGUGCCCAGAUGGGAUUAGCUAAUUGGUGGGGUAAUGGCUCACCUAAGCGACGAUCCCUACCUGGUCUGAUAGGAUGACCAGCCACACUGGAACUGAGACACGGUCCAGACUUCUACUGGAGGCAACAGUGGGGAAUAUUGCACAAUGGGCGCAAGCCUGAUGCAACCAUGCCGCGUGUAUGAAGGAGGCCUUUCGGGUUGUAAAGUACUUUCAGCGAGGAGGAAGGCGUUGUGGUUAAUAACCGCAACGAUUGACGUUACUCGCAGAAGAAGCACCGGCUAACUCCGUGCCAGCAGCCGCGGUAGUACGGAGGGUGCAAGCGUUAAUCGGAAUUACUGGGCGUAAAGCGCACGCAGGCGGUCUGUCAAGUCGGAUGUGAAAUCCCCGGGCUCAACCUGGGAACUGCAUCCGAAACUGGCAGGCUAGAGUCUUGUAGAGGGGGGUAGAAUUCCAGGUGUAGCGGUGAAAUGCGUAGAGAUCUGGAGGAAUACCGGUGGCGAAGGCGGCCCCCUGGACAAAGACUGACGCUCAGGUGCGAAAGCGUGUGGAGCAAACAGGAUUAGAUACCCUGGUAGUCCACGCCGUAAACGAUGUCGACUUGGAGGUUGUGCCCUUGAGGCGUGGCUUCCGGAGCU